GGGAUGACGAAGGAGGAAGUACACCAGAUAAUACAGCAGGCACUGAAAGAAUACAGUGAAGAUCGCAUUGGGCUGGUGGAUUAUGCCCUGGAGUCCUCAGGGGCCAGCAUUGUCAGUAGCCACUCGUCAGAGACCUAUGGCAUCAGGACGGAGUGGUUUGGCAUCCAUUUUGACGCUAUUUCCA